GGUUUCUUUUCUUUUUUAUACUUUCUGUACUUGAAAAUUCAUGCUGUCAUCCUGUUCUUGUCCUAUACUAUUGCUAUUAUACCUAAUUAAGAUUUUUAAGGAUUUUAAAUUGUUAUUUUGACACAAAAGUUUUAUUGCUGCCAUUGAAUUAGUACCAAUGAAAAUUGAAGAAUAUUCAAUUGUACUAAUUAUAAUUUGAAAAUUUUAUGAUAAAAAUUAACAUGAAACAAUUGUAUGA
rnacentral:misc_RNA from 1 species